rnacentral:rRNA from 1 species
AUACGGAGGGUGCAAGCGUUACUCGGAAUCACUGGGCGUAAAGCGCGCGCAGGCGGCUAUUUAAGUUGGAUGUGAAAGCCUACGGCUCAACCGUAGAACUGCAUCCAAAACUAUUUAGCUAGAGUGUGGGAGAGGAAGAUGGAAUUAGUUGUGUAGGGGUAAAAUCCGUAGAGAUAACUAGGAAUACCAAAAGCGUAGGCAAUCUUCUGGAACACUUCUGACGCUGAGGCGCGAAAGCGUGGGGAGCAAACAGGAUUAGAAACCCCAGUAGUCC